GCAGUCGUGGCCGAGGGGUUAAGGCGAUGGACUAGAAAUCCGUUCGAAUCCUGUCAACUGCG
rnacentral:tRNA from 1 species